rnacentral:rRNA from 1 species
AUGGCCGGUGCCAAGAGACUUGCUCAACUGGCAAAGAAGUGGCAAAGGGUGGAAGCACUCGGGAGGAAGAGGCUCACUGUGUCAGCCAAAGAAGAUCAAGGCUGCUGCAGUUCUGUACCAGCCAAGGGCCACUGUGUCAUGUACACGGCCGACGGGAGGCGUUUCGAGGUGCCCUUGGUGUACCUCAGCACCACGGUCUUCGGCGAGCUCCUGAGGAUGUCUCAGGAGGAGUUUGGCUUUGCAAACGAAGGCAAGAUCACACUGCCUUGUGAUGCCGCAGUGAUGGAGUAUGUCAUGUGCUUGCUGAGGAGAAGCGCCUCCGCCGAGGUCGAGAGUGCAUUGCUCAGCUCUAUGGUGACGCCCUGCCACUACACUGGCUGCGUCAUUGAAGCAACAAUCUGA